GAUGGCAUACAUUGCUGGAAGGCCCGUUGGGUCUAGUUUCACACUCGAGAAUCGGUUUGUCAUUUCGACUUCCCAAUAAAAAGUUAUGGCCAGUUUAUUGGAAACUGCUUUGGAGGUCAAUAGUCAUGCGAAGCCAGUUCGGGAAUCCAUUCCAAGGGGACCAUUCACAUUCCUUCCCCCAGAAACUCUAUUUUGUUUUCAUACCUAUCUAGGAGAAUUGUUCCUAGUAUAAAUAUUCCCUACCUCUAAGCUAUUAGGAACCUUUGAUCAUUUGAUAAACUACAUGAUAUUGUAGCCACGCUGCUGUGUGCCUUACUCAACCUUUGUUCUUCCUUAUUCUUCUUGGACUUGUGAAGUGAAUCCUCUGGGUUCCCCUAUUUCGUGCUCUACGGCUUCCGUUCAGCUACGCCGUAUUGUGUGGAUUAGUUUUGGAUUGUGGUUCUACGAUUGUUCAGAGAUGGAGUCGAAGUCUUCACGGUUUUGGUGCUUCUCUCCCUAUCGCUUGGUUGCAUCCAACCUUUGUUAGGUAUAAAGCUAGUUAUCUAUUGUUUGCAGCAAGUUAUCCUUGUUCUUUUGAUCUAUUGUCGUGAAGAUCGGGCCACCCUCGUAUCGAUUCAUAUCAGUACCUAUCAACAUUUGUCCUUUUUCUCUUCUUUCUUUUCUUUUUCUUUUUCAAUACUUUUAUUUUGCAUAGCCUCAUACCUCCUUAUAUAACCAGAAAAUGUUGAGAAAGACUUUUUAAAUAACUUAGAGCAAUUAUUCGUACUAAGACUCUUUUUGUGUUUUCUCCCAGUGUAGGGGUAAAACAUUUUUAUGGAUGGAAAGGCAUGUUUGUGCGCAUUCCUAGUGAGGAAUGACAGAUAUAUGUGAAUGAUUAUGAGGACACUACGCUAGCUAGGAAACAAAAAUUUCAACAUCAUAAACAAGGAUCAACUGCAAGUUAUAGAUCAUGGGAUUACCACUAGACACGCAGAUGCAGUGGAAGCGACUCGGUGUAGUUGUGCGCGUAGUAGCAGUGCCGUGCAGUUGCAUGGUCGUCCACCACACCAAUCCCUCUCCCGCGGU
rnacentral:lncRNA from 1 species